rnacentral:rRNA from 1 species
GACGGAGGGUGCGAGCGUUAUUCGGAUUUAUUGGGCGUAAAGGGCGUGUAGGCGGUUGGCCAAGUCUGAUGUGAAAGCCCGGGGCUUAACCUCGGAAGGGCGUUGGAAACUGGUCAACUUGAGUUCGGGAGAGGGAAGCGGAAUUCCUGGUGUAGAGGUGAAAUUCGUAGAUAUCAGGAGGAACACCGGUGGCGAAGGCGGCUUCCUGGACCGAAACUGACGCUGAGACGCGAAAGCGUGGGGAGCAAAC